GACGAACGCUGGCGGCGUGCCUAAUACAUGCAAGUAGAACGCAGUAGCGAACGGGUGAGUAACGCGUAGGUAACUGCCUCAUAGCGGGGGAGAAAUAUUGGAAACGAUAGCUAAUACCGCAUAUGGUGAGAAGGCCCUGCGUUGUAUUAGCUAGUUGGUGAGGUAACGGCUCACCAAGGCGACGAUACAUAGCCGACCUGAUAGGGUGAUCGGCCGCACUGGGACUGAGACACGGCCCAGACUCCUACGUAAGGCCGCAGUAGGGAAUCUUCGGCAAUGGACGAAAGUCUGACCGAGCAACGCCGCGUGAGUGAAUAAGGUUUUCGGAUCGUAAAGCUCUGUUGUUAGAGAAGCGGUACCUAACCAGAAAGGGACGGCUAGCUACGUGCCAGCAGCCGCGGUAAUUC
rnacentral:rRNA from 1 species